rnacentral:rRNA from 1 species
AGGAUCAUUAUCGAAUCGUAGGCGAGGGUUGUCGCUGGCCUCUCGGGGCAUGUGCACGCCCGAGCCCUUGAAUCCCAAACACACAUGUGAACCCACCGUAGGCCUUCGGGCCUAUGUCUUAUCAUAUAAUCCGAAUGUCUAAUAGAAUGUAAACCCAUUUCGUUGCCUUGAAAACGUAACGAAAGAAAACUAUACAACUUUCAACAACGGAUCUCUUGGCUCUCGCAUCGAUGAAGAACGCAGCGAAAUGCGAUAAGUAAUGUGAAUUGCAGAUUUUCAGUGAAUCAUCGAAUCUUUGAACGCACCUUGCGCCCCUUGGUAUUCCGAGGGGCAUGCCUGUUUGAGUGUCAUUAAAUCCUCAACCCCUCCGAUUCGUUUCGGUGGGGAUUGGACUUGGAGCGUGCUGGCGAAGGUCGGCUCCUCUUUAAAUGCAUCAGCGGAGAAAAUGCCUUUUGCGCCUCUGGCCGUUCAGCGUGAUAAUGAUGUUGCGCUGCGGUCGAGCUUAAGGUCCGCUUCCAAAGGUCCUCUCGGACGAUAUAUACAUAUGACUUUUGACCUCAAAUCAGGUAGGACUACCCGCUGAACUUAAGCAUAUCUAAAGCCGGAGGAAAA